UUGAUUAGCGUAAUAAUUAGCGUACCAAGGACUCGCUUGAUUAUAAGGAUUAUAUGCAUAUUCAAGACCACCUUGGGAACAAUUAGCCAUCGGAUUAACAGAUGAAUUGGAUAAUCCACUUGCCCCAAAUCCUGUUAAAGGAACAUAAUAAUAAUAACUUGGUGCUUGGGCUGUUGUGUUGUUAUUUCCCAUCGAUGUCAAUGAACCUGAUGAUUAAAAGUAAACAAUUAAAAGGAUUAGGAUAAUUAACAGUUACCGUUUAAAAAAUGGACACCAACCAACAACAACAACCAGUUGACUGUUUCUUUUUAGUUAUUAAUCACUUACAAUGGUAAUUUUUCAUUGGGACUCGAUCUAACUGUAAUCCACACCAAUCCAUUUCUUUAAUUAUUAUUUGCAGAACAAUUUAAUCAAAGAAAUAUGUAUAUUACUAAAUUAACUCAAUUAAUGGACAAAAUGGUCAAGUGUUAACACGGAAUUAUGAUUAUCGUUGGUCAGUGGAAACUAAAAACUUAGUGAAAUUUUCAAGUUCAGAGCAAAAACAAAAGGGAGAUGCAAAGAGAAAACAAGUGAUUGAUGUGGAAAAGAAAACUUUUUCCACCCCUCCCUUGGAAUGGAAGAUGAGAAAAGGAAGAGAGAGAGAGAGAGAGAGAGAGAGAGAGAGAGAGAGAGAGAGAGAGAGAGAGAGAGAGAGAGAGAGAUGAAGAGGAGGAGGAUGAUGAUGAUGGAUGAAAAGAAAGAGUAGAACGAUUGCAAAUGACCUUUGGCCGAACAGAGAGAAAAAAAAGAAACACAAGAAAACCCAAAGUUCCACAAAGAUUUUUCUUCUCUUUUUUUCUGGAAUAAAAAUGAAGAUUAAAAAGGUUCAUCCUCUCAUCAUCAUCUUCUCCUCCUUCUUAUCCUAUCUUCACAUUCUCUCUCUCUCUCUAUCCACCUCUUCAUCUUCAUCAUCUUUACGUUUUGUAUUCUCCCCUUUGGUGAUGGACAAAUGAUAUUCUCAAUGGUUGACCGGAAACUUAAUGCUAAUGUAAUGAACAGAAAGAACAAAAAAAAACACAAAGACUUGACCAUUCGAUGACCUUAAACAAAACGACCUUAAAACAUGAAAAGAUUGGAGUAAUUUCUUGGUAACAAUCAACAGAAAAGAGGAGAAAAGAAAAAGAAAAAGUUAAUUAAAUGAAAGAAAAAAUCAGUUACCAUGGAAACCUGUGGAUUCUCAUCACUUUGAAUAAAUUAACUGAUAAUUAACAUCGAAAGAGACUAAUAACCUUUUAGAAUCUAAUUGUUGUGUUACCCUAUCUUACUGAUUUUAGUUAAUAUUUGAUUACUGAUUAACAUUAAUUAAAGUUAAUUAGUCAUCAUUGUAA